rnacentral:snoRNA from 1 species
UGGAGGCCUGAGAAGGUAAGGCAGUUAUUCACUGUACUGGGCCUUAUUGGUUAUAGCCUCCAAGAUUAAAAUAGUGCAAAAGCAAACCAGGUUCCUCUCCCAACUUGAGGGGAAACAAGGCUGCUUUUGCAUACAUGGU